UUUUUUCAUGUUUGAUAAAGACAAGAGAUAGUGGCUAUGGAUCAUAUUCCUCCCAUUCAUCGUCAUUGUAUGGAAGAUUGCCUCCACCUUCAACUCUGGAAAUGGUUGUACCUGCACAUGCAGUUGGUAAAGUCAUGGGCAAAGGUGGCAUGAAUAUUGAAAAUAUACUUAAAAUAUCAGGUGCAGCACUAGAGAAUUCAGAUUCCAAAUCCUUCUGAGGUGAUCGUGUGGCUUUAAUAUUGGGCACGCUGGAACAGAAGCGUGCAGCUGAAAACUUGAUUCAAGCAUUCAUAAUGGCUACUUAAAUUAUGAAGAUACUUUGGUCCACUUAUAUUUGAAAACUGUGGUUCAGUUGGUUCUUCCAUCAAUCGUUUAUCCUCUAUUUUAUUUCAUAGGCUUCUGCUGGACUCAGUUUUCUUCUGUUGGGAAUCUUAUGAAGAUGCUUGAAGUUUAAUAGCAUGUUCUGUUUUCAAGCCAUAUAGGUUCUACCAGUGUUGCCUGAUAAAUUCGAUUCAUCCAUGGUAGAUGUUGAUAGGAUGUUUGUCGAGCCUUUGUGCAUCUUACUUCUGAUAUGCUUUUCUGGUGAAUUUGAUGUUGAGUUGAUUGUUAAACUCAUAAUACAUGGAUCCUUCAGUUAGUUCCUAUUCCUUCCUCUCAGCUUCUUCUCCUGUCUUUUGAUAUAUAUGUGAUUGAUCCAGGUCUCUUCCUCGCAUGCCGUCUGUGCUGUUC